CUACGUGCCAGCAGCCGCGGUAAUACGGAAGGUCCGGGCGUUAUCCGGAUUUAUUGGGUUUAAAGGGAGUGUAGGCGGUCUGUUAAGCGUGUUGUGAAAUUUAGGUGCUCAACAUUUAACUUGCAGCGCGAACUGUCAGACUUGAGUACACGCAGCGCAGGCGGAAUUCAUGGUGUAGCGGUGAAAUGCUUAGAUAUCAUGAGGAACUCCGAUCGCGAAGGCAGCCUGCGGGAGUGUUACUGACGCUUAAGCUCGAAGGUGCGGGUAUCGAACAGGAUUAGAUACCCUGGUAGUCCGCACGGUAAACGAUGGAUGCCCGCCGUUGGCGCCCUGCGCCUGCGGCCAAGCGAAAGCAUUAAGCAUCCCACCUGGGGAGUACGCCGGCAACGGUGAAACUCAAAGGAAUUGACGGGGGCCCGCACAAGCGGAGGAACAUGUGGUUUAAUUCGAUGAUACGCGAGGAACCUUACCCGGGCUUGAAUUGCAGUCGCUGCCCACAGAGA
rnacentral:rRNA from 1 species